AUCCAAGAUGGCUUCAAUUUUUUGGAAACUCUUGUUGAUCGUCACACUCAUCUUUGCUUCCAAUGUUCAUGCAAGACAAUUGAAUUCCACUCCCAAUUUUCAUCAUGAUCAACAAGGAGAAAAUGAGUAUUACAAAUGUUCGUGUUCCUAGUCCUCCUCCGCGAUCAUGCAAUGGCAAACGCACCAGACCCGGACGGGACGCCGCUUGGUGUGGGGGUUAUUGAGAGAAACUCGUUUUUAUUUGAAGAGUCAAGCUUACCAUCGGAGAAGACAAAUUGAUUCAUUACAUAAUCAACAACCCACCUUCUUCCGAGCCUUAUCAUCGGGAAGACAAAUCAAUUCCCACCCUUCAUCUUCCUUGAUUUCGCUC